AGCAGCAUGGCGCAGCUGGAAGCGCGCGGGGCCCAUAUCGUCGGUUAUUACGUAAUCACGGGGAACCCCGAGGUCACUCGAUCGAAACGAGUUGCUGCUA